UGGGGAAUAUUGCACAAUGGGCGAAAGCCUGAUGCAGCGACGCCGCGUGAGGGAUGGAGGCCUUCGGGUUGUAAACCUCUUUCAGUAAGGGUGAAGGCUCUCUUUUGUGGAGGGUUGACAGUACUUGCAGAAGAAGCGCCGGCUAACUACGUGCCAGCAGCCGCGGUAAUACGUAGGGCGCGAGCGUUUUCCGGAAUUAUUGGGCGUAAAGGGCUUGUAGGUGGCGUGUCGCGUCUGCUGUGAAAUUCCCGGGCUUAACUUUGGGAUUGCAGUGGGUACGGGCAUGCUAGAGUGCAGUAGGGGAGAUUGGAAUUCCUGGUGUAGCGAUGAAAUGCGCAGAUAUCAGGAGGAACACCGGUGGCGAAGGCGGGUCUCUGAGCUGUUACUGACGCUGAGGAGCGAAAGCGUGGGGAGCGAACAGG
rnacentral:rRNA from 1 species